rnacentral:rRNA from 1 species
AUUAGCUAGUUGGUGAGGUAAGGGCUCACCAAGGCGACGAUCAGUAGCCGGCCUGAGAGGGUGAACGGCCACACUGGAACUGAGACACGGUCCAGACUCCUACGGGAGGCAGCAGUGGGGAAUAUUGCACAAUGGAGGGAACUCUGAUGCAGCGACGCCGCGUGAGUGAAGAAGGUCUUCGGAUCGUAAAACUCUGUCCUUGGUGAAGAAAAGGACGGUAGCCAAGGAGGAAGCCCCGGCUAACUACGUGCCAGCAGCCGCGGUAAUACGUAGGGGGCGAGCGUUGUCCGGAUUUACUGGGCGUAAAGGGUGAGUAGGCGGUUAUAUAUGUCAGGUGUAAAAAGCUAUGGCUUAACCAUAGUAAGCACUUGAAACUGUAUGACUUGAGUGCAGGAGAGGUAAGCGGAAUUCCUAGUGUAGCGGUGAAAUGCGUAGAUAUUAGGAGGAACACCGGUGGCGAAGGCGGCUUACUGGACUGUAACUGACGCUGAGUCACGAAAGCGUGGGUAGCAAACAGGAUUAGAUACCCUGGUAGUCCACGCUGUAAACGAUGAGUGCUAGGUGUUGGGUAGCGAUAUUCAGUGCCGGAGUAAACACAAUA